GGCAAAUCACAACGUGUUCCGUCAUCACGCUCGGGGUACCAGACUGACACGUCCAUCGCAGAAAACGGUAUACGAUUACAUUCUAGAAUGCAGUUCGCCGCUGUUUUAGUGCCGGUCAUUUUGGUCCUUGCAAGCGUUCUUAUCGUUGACGCCUACUUUCAUGGGGAAAUCUGCGAGCACGGGACAAAAGUACUCACCUGCUCUGGAACCAAGGUCAUCAGGAUCUUGAAUGCCAGUUAUGGCAGGGCGAACCACCACACCUGUCCCGGCCACGGCGAGGUUCACAACACUCACUGCCACAGUCACCAUUCUCUCGCGAGCGUCAGGGGUUUGUGCGAAGGCAAACACCACUGCCACCUCCAUGUUACUAACGCACAUAUGGGAGGGGAUCCGUGCCACGGCACCAACAAGUAUCUCUCCCUCUAUUAUUAUUGUCACUAAGAAUAGUUGGAUGUCCUCGAUGGAGAGGGAAUCGGUACCUCAGGAUGAACACCGCAGCAUCUUGACCACCAUGGUUUUUGCAUCUUAUCAAGGUAUACCCCGGCUGCCCCCGGCUACAUCUAAAUCGGGGUAAAAACUAUGAGGUUCAAUAUGACAUGAUAGCAGAAUAGAAACGACUUUUAAAGUAACAGAGGGAUAGUGGUUUGAAAUUAAGGUGGCCAUGUGCCCCUCCAAUUAAAAUAAUCUCUUGUCUGUUUCUUUUUUGCCGUCAUUUUCUGUCGCCGAGGUAACGAAUAAAACGUGAUGUC